rnacentral:rRNA from 1 species
UACGGAGGGUGCGAGCGUUGUUCGGAAUUACUGGGCGUAAAGGGCGCGUAGGCGGCGUGUCAAGUCAGGCGUGAAAUCCCCCGGGCUCAACCUGGGAAUUGUGAUGGAGACUGCAAGGCUAGAAUCUGGCAGAGGGGGGUAGAAUUCCACGUGUAGCAGUGAAAUGCGUAGAGAUGUGGAGGAACACCGAUGGCGAAGGCAGCCCCCCUGGGUCAAGAU